rnacentral:lncRNA from 1 species
AUAAUAAUAAUAAUAACAUUAAUAUGUAUACAUAGAGCAGAACUACUGAGCUAUUGAAAGCAUAACAGUCCGUGUGUUCUUAAGUUUCCAAUAAUUCAUUAAUUUUGAUCGAUAGUUAACAAAGAUGAAAGAGAAAUUUAAAAAAAAUUCAAAAACAAAAAUUGAGAAAUCCAACUUUUUUCUAAUUUUUCUUCUCUCUCAUUCUAACCAUCUAUCAAAAUUGAUAAAUAGUUAGAACAGAUUGCUAUGUUCCUAAUAGUAUAGUAGCUCUACUCUAUAUAUAUAUAUACUUUUCUUUUCUUUUUAUAUUGACAACAUACUUUUAUACCUAUCUCUACCAAAUUUUAGAAUUAUGUAUCUAUUCCUAUAAUUAUUAUAAUUUUUAAAAAAUAUAUAAUAAAUUUAUUUAUUUUUUUAAAAAAUACUUCCAUACACUAUUUAUAGGAAUAUACAUCUUACGUCUUUAGAUUCAAAAAUUAAAAAAACCUCGUUACAGUUUUAAUAA